rnacentral:rRNA from 1 species
GACGUAGGGUGCGAGCGUUGUCCGGAUUUAUUGGGCGUAAAGAGCUCGUAGGCGGCUCGUCGCGUCGGCUGUGAAAACCCGUGGCUUAACUGCGGGCCUGCAGCUGAUACGGGCGGGCUAGAGUUCGGUAGGGGAGACUGGAAUUCCUGGUGUAGCGGUGAAAUGCGCAGAUAUCAGGAGGAACACCUAUUGCGAAGGCAGCUCGCUGGGACGUAACUGACGCUGAGACGCGAAAGCGUGGGGAGCAAACAGG